UAGUUCAUAAUAACUUACGAAUCGCAUGGCCUUGUGGCGGGAUGGUUCAUUCAAAUUUCUGCCCUAUCAACUUUCGAUGGUAGGAUAGUGGCCUACCAUGGUUUCAACGGGUAACGGGGAAUUAGGGUUCUAUUCCGGAGAGGGAGCUGAGAAACGGCUACCACAUCCAAGGAAGGCAGCAGGCGCGCAAAUUACCCAAUCCCGACACGGGGAGGUAGUGACAAUAAAUACUGAUACAGGGCUCUUUUGGGUCUUGUAAUUGGAAUGAGUACAAUUUAAAUCCCUUAACGAGGAACAAUUGGAGGGCAAGUCUGGUGCCAGCAGCCGGGUAAAUUCCAGAUCCAAUAGCGUAUAUUAAAGUUGUUGCAGUUAAAAAGCUCGUAGUUGAACCUUGGGCCUGGCUGGCCGGUCCGCCUCAACCGGGUGCAACUGGUCCGGCCGGGCCAUUUCCUCCUGGGGAGGCCGGCAUGCCCUUCAAUGGGUGUGUCAGAGGGAAGCAGGACUUUUACUUUGAAACAAAUUAGAAGUGUUCAAAGCAGGCCUAUGUUCGAAUACAUUAGCAUGGAAUAAUAGGAAUAGGACGUGUGGAUU
rnacentral:rRNA from 1 species